rnacentral:rRNA from 1 species
GACGAACGCUGGCGGCGUGCUUAACACAUGCAAGUCGAACGAUGAAGAAGAGAAACGCGAACUUCGGUUCAAAUUUCACUUCGGAUUAGUGGCAGACGGGUGGGUAACGCGUGAGCAACCUACCUCUUACAAAGGGAUAGCCUCGGGAAACCGUGAUUAAUACCAUAUGACACCUUCAUAAGGCAUCUUAAGAAUGUUAAAGCUACGGCGGUAAGAGAUGGGCUCGCGUCCCAUUAGCUAGUUGGUGAGGUAACGGCCCACCAAGGCGACGAUGGGUAACCGGCCUGAGAGGGUGAACGGUCACAUUGGAACUGAGACACGGUCCAAACUCCUACGGGAAGCAGCAGUGGGGAAUAUUGCACAAUGGAGGGAACUCUGAUGCAGCGACGCCGCGUGAGCGAUGAAGGAAUUCGUUUCGUAAAGCUCUGUUCUAUGGGAAGAAAAGGACUGUACCAUAGGAGAAAGCCCCGGCUAAAUACGUG